UACGGAGGGUGCAAGCGUUAUCCGGAUUUACUGGGUUUAAAGGGUGUGUAGGCGGACUUUUAAGUCAGCGGUGAAAUCUCCGGGCUCAACCCGGAAACUGCCAUUGAUACUAUUGGUCUUGGAUGUUGUUGAGGUGGGCGGAACGGGUCAUGUAGCGGUGAAAUGCAUAGAUAUGACCCGGAACACCGAUUGCGAAGGCAGCCCACUAAGCAAUGAUUGACGCUGAGGCAUGAAAGCGUGGGGAUCAAACAGG
rnacentral:rRNA from 1 species